GUAGUCCACGCCGUAAACGAUGGAUACUAGCUGUCCGGACCUCGGUCUGGGUGGCUAAGCGAAAGUGAUAAGUAUCCCACCUGGGGAGUACGUUCGCAAGAAUGAAACUCAAAGGAAUUGACGGGGGCCCGCACAAGCGGUGGAGCAUGUGGUUUAAUUCGAUGAUACGCGAGGAACCUUACCAGGGCUUAAAUGUGGAGUGACAGGUCUAGAGACAGACCCUUCUUCGGACACUCCACAAGGUGCUGCAUGGUUGUCGUCAGCUCGUGCCGUGAGGUGUCAGGUUAAGUCCUAUAACGAGCGCAACCCCUGUCGUUAGUUGCCAGCAUGUAAAGAUGGGAACUCUAGCGAGACUGCCGGUGCAAACCGCGAGGAAGGUGGGGAUGACGUCAAAUCAUCACGGCCCUUACGUCCUGGGCUACACACGUGCUACAAUGGCCGGUACAGAGAGCAGCCACGCCGCAAGGCGGAGCGAAUCUACAAAACCGGUCACAGUUCGGAUCGGGGUCUGCAACUCGACCCCGUGAAGCUGGAAUCGCUAGUAAUCGCAGAUCAGCCAUGCUGCGGUGAAUACGUUCCCGGGCCUUGUACACACCGCCCGUCAAGCCAUGGAAGCCGGGAGUGCCUGAAGUCCGUCACCGCAAGGAGCGGCCUAGGGUAAAAUCGGUAACUAGGGCU
rnacentral:rRNA from 1 species